GCCCACAAAUCAACGCAUCAAUAAGCACGUCAACAAUGAUGUGAACCUUCGCAUUCAGAAUUUGACCAUCUUGGUGAGAAACAUUAAGACCUACUACCAGGAAGUUCUCCAGCAGCUGAUUGUAAUGAAUUUGCCCAAUGUUUUGAUGAUUGGCAGAGAUCCACUGUCUGGGAAGAGCAUGGAGGAAAUCAAGAAGGUGCUGCUGCUGGUGCUGGGCUGUGCCGUCCAGUGUGAGAGGAAAGAGGAGUUCAUUGAAAGAAUCAAACAGCUGGACAUUGAGACCCAGGCUGGCAUCGUGGCCCAUAUCCAGGAGGUAGGUGCGUGGCCUCGCGGAGGGCUCAGCCGUGGACUGCUGCUCCCGUGGUAGCCAGGAGGCAAAACUUCUCUAUGAAUGGAAACGUUUAAAGAAUACAUCACCCAUUACGAUUUUGCUAAUCUUAGGUUUCAGACACCACAGACACAUUGAUUCUAUUUGGAAAGAUAGCCAUCAAUCAGCCAGCUAAAAUAAAGUGAGGGUAAAAAUAAAAAUUUAAAAAAAAAAAAAAACACCUCAA
rnacentral:sRNA from 1 species